rnacentral:rRNA from 1 species
GGGGGGGGGGGGGGGGGGGGGGGGGGCGGGCAGGGAGGGCGCUGGGGGGGGGGGGGUGGGCGUCUUGGAUGAGUUGCGGACGGGUGAGUAACGCGUGGGUAACCUGCCUUGUAGCGGGGGAUAACUAUUGGAAACGAUAGCUAAUACCGCAUAACACUGGAUGACACAUUUCAUUUAUUUGAAAGGGGCAAUUGCUCCACUACAAGAUGGCCCUGCGUUGUAUUAGCUAGUAGGUGAGGUAAUGGCUCACCUAGGCGACGAUACAUAGCCGACCUGAGAGGGUGAUCGGCCACACUGGGACUGAGACACGGCCCAGACUCCUACGGGAGGCAGCAGUAGGGAAUCUUCGGCAAUGGGGGCAACCCUGACCGAGCAACGCCGCGUGAGUGAAGAAGGUUUUCGGAUCGUAAAGCUCUGUUGUAAGUCAAGAACGGGUGUGAGAGUGGAAAGUUCACACUGUGACGGUAGCUUACCAGAAAGGGACGGCUAACUACGUG